CUCCCAGGAAAAUUUGGGAGUGCUUCAACUGCUCUCAGGGUCGCAAAAUUCCUUCCAGCACGAGGAACAAAGAGCCUGAACCAGCUGCUUUGAAGAGAUCUUGGGACUGAAGGACUGAGCUGAGGCAUUUCUAAGAGCUGCUUGUGUGAUGCCUUUUGGCUGCAGGAAGUCGGGAUAAUGCAAAUAAACCCCCCAGCCUUCUCUGGCAAUAUUCCCUUCAUCCUACUCCUGUCCAGCCCGGGCUGU